rnacentral:rRNA from 1 species
UAGGGAAUCUUCCGCAAUGGACGCAAGUCUGACGGAGCAACGACGCGUGAGUGAAGAAGGAUUUCGGUUCGUAAAACUCUGUUGUUAGAGAAGAACAGCGCAUAGAGUAACUGUUAUGCGUGUGACGGUAUCUAACCAGAAAGCCACGGCUAACUACGUGCCAGCAGCCGCGGUAAUACGUAGGUGGCAAGCGUUGUCCGGAUUUAUUGGGCGUAAAGCGAGCGCAGGCGGUCAAUUAAGUCUGAUGUGAAAGCCCCCGGCUCAACCGGGGAGUGUCAUUGGAAACUGGUUUACUUGAGUGCAGAAGAGUAGAGUGAAAUUCCAUGUGUAGCGGUGAACUGCGUAGAUAUAUGGAGGAACACCAGUGGCGAAGGCGACUCUCUGGUCUGUAUCUGACGCUGAGGCUCGAAAGCGUGGGUAGCAAACAGG